AUCGAACUGCACAUCGACUAGUGAACCUGUCCAAAUAUAUUGUUUCAACAGAGUUAGCUCACACAGUUCUCAAUAAUUCUAUAAAAGCCGCACUGGAUACCUACGUCUGUGUAAAACACAAGUCUUAACGGAAAAAAGAGGACUUGAGGGUUAAGCAACUUUUUUCGUGAUGAAGUUGAUCAUCUUGUCUCGGUCUUCUGGCUAAUGUUCUUGGCGACGACGCCACUCUAGCUCUCCAAAGGUUCAGGUAUAUUGACAGAAACAAUGAUGAAAUUAUUCUGGUCAAUGAAAUGGUUACUGCCUUUAACAGCGAGGACAAAGACGGCGAUGGAUUUUUAAAUCUUGAAGAAUUCACCGCUGGAAUACAUCCUGGAUCUCCUCCUCUCGACAUCGAAGACGCCUUCGAUUACUUUGACAAGAGAGACGAUCAGGAAGACGGCAAGCUUGAUCGAUCUGCGGUUGUCGUUCUUCUUAACGGCCUGGACACUGACGAAAACGGGAAAUUUUCGAUGGAAGAAUUCAUAAACAAAUAUAUGAAGGUAAUAUCUACAGGCAUAUAAAAAUAUGAUGGGAAAUGAGAAUAAUUAGUGAUGAAAAGUUAAUCCUAGAAUGGUUAACCUAAAACUCUCUAUGGAACAAAUUAGAUAAAUAAUCACAUUUCCUUUUUAUUUUCUGUUUCCAGCUCUUCACCGAUUAAGUAAAGGCCACUGAAAAAGACAUCAGAGAAAAGUAGCAAUUAAAAUUUAGUUUCUAAAAAAAAAAAAAAAGGAUUUUUUAUUUUCUGUAAAGGUGUGAUGUUGACGUUGAUCACUUUUGUGGUUGGUAACACUCGGUACAUCACAUUAUUGAUGUGUGUCAUUCAACACUACUAACAUUCCUCAGUAUCAUUACACCUUGUUACACAUAUCAUGGUACCUGCGUUGAUGCACGAAUAAACAAGUCAAACGUGAAGUAAAAUAUAACCGAUAUGUUUAC